GUUGCUUGAAGUUUGGCUAAACGCGCGAUUUUUUAAAAAAGUUGAUUGACGGGAGAUAUAUACGGCAACGUAUCGGGGGUUCGAAUCCCCCCCUCACCGCCA
rnacentral:tRNA from 1 species